AUUGAACGCUGGCGGCGUGCUUAACACAUGCAAGUCGAUCGGUAACGCGGGGGCAACCCUGGCAACGAGAGGCGGACGGGUGAGGAACGCUUGGGAAUCUGCCUAUCAGCGGGGGACAACACGGGGAAACUCGUGCUAAUACCGCAUACGCUCUACGGAGGAAAGCCGGGGACCGCAAGGCCUGGCACUGAUAGAUGAGCCCAAGCCGGAUUAGCUAGUUGGCGGGGUAACGGCCCGCCAAGGCGACGAUCCGUAGCUGGUCUGAGAGGACGAUCAGCCACACUGGGACUGAGACACGGCCCAGACUCCUACGGGAGGCAGCAGUGGGGAAUAUUGGACAAUGGGGGAAACCCUGAUCCAGCGACGCCGCGUGGGUGAAGAAGGCCUGCGGGUUGUAAAGCCCUUUCGGUAGGGACGAAAGCUCUCGACCUAACACGUCGGGAGGUUGACUUAACCUACAAAAGAAGCACCGGCUAACUCUGUGCCAGCAGCCGCGGUAAUAC
rnacentral:rRNA from 1 species